rnacentral:lncRNA from 1 species
GUUGCGUCACUGGGAAGGACUACUCUGGUGUAGUUCAGCUGUGAUACACUCCUCUUAUACAGAGCUCUGACAACCUCAGUCCUUACUGGAACCUCUGGUCGUGGAGUUUCUUCGCUCUUUGGUACAUAGAUGGGAUAUACAAACAUCCAGGAGUUUCUGAUAUCAAAGCAACAUUGAUAUUGGGUGUAUGUUGUGGUACCAUCUAUAGAUGAUUGUGAAUGCCAUUCCUCUUGUGUGCUGAUGAGAUUACCAGGCUUCCCCAUGGAUGGAACCGUGCAUAUGUGGCUGCUGGCAGGGUUCAUCCAGGUGGUCAGUCUCUUGUGUGUGCAGUGGUCAGAUCCUGCGGUCGUGGUUGUUGAGGUUGUGUUUGGCCACUUCCCCACCAGUCAGGAUCCAGACUGGUACACCGUCUCCUACCAGAUUGCACGCAACCUCACGGUGUGGCUGGAUCCGAUUGACCGCUCUGAGUGUUCUCCUGACUGCAGGUUGCUUCUGCGAUUGGCUAAGGAGCCAGGAGGAAGUGACAUCACGCUGAAAGCUAUCAAAAACAAUACCGCACUGAAGACUAAGACCUUUCAUAUCGCUCCUGUCCCCCUCUCCUCUCUCCGUGUCGAGGUGACCACCACCAGCACUCUCCUGACCUGCAGCCUACAGAACAGACAGAGCCUCACUGCUCUUAGUCUACACAACACGCACAUCAAACACACACACACUGAAUACACACACACUGAACACACACGCUCUGCC